AGCGAACGCUGGCGGCAGGCUUAACACAUGCAAGUCGAGCGGGCACUUCGGUGUCAGCGGCAGACGGGUGAGUAACACGUGGGAACGUACCCUUUGGUUCGGAAUAACGCUGGGAAACUAGCGCUAAUACCGGAUACGCCCUUUUGGGGAAAGGCUUGCUGCCGAAGGAUCGGCCCGCGUCUGAUUAGCUAGUUGGUGGGGUAAUGGCCUACCAAGGCGACGAUCAGUAGCUGGUCUGAGAGGAUGAUCAGCCACACUGGGACUGAGACACGGCCCAGACUCCUACGGGAGGCAGCAGUGGGGAAUAUUGGACAAGGGGCGCAAGCCUGAUCCAGCCAUGCCGCGUGAGUGAUGAAGGCCUUAGGGUUGUAAAGCUCUUUUGUCCGGGACGAUAAUGACGGUACCGGAAGAAUAAGCCCCGGCUAACUUCGCG
rnacentral:rRNA from 1 species